rnacentral:rRNA from 1 species
CGACCGCUGGCGGCGUGCUUAACACAUGCAAGUCGACCGGAAAGGCCCUGCUUUUGUGGGGUGCUCGAGUGGCGAACGGGUGAGUAACACGUGAGUAACCUGCCCUUGACUUUGGGAUAACUUCAGGAAACUGGGGCUAAUACCGGAUAGGAGCUCCUGCUGCAUGGUGGGGGUUGGAAAGUUUCGGCGGUUGGGGAUGGACUCGCGGCUUAUCAGCUUGUUGGUGGGGUAGUGGCUUACCAAGGCUUUGACGGGUAGCCGGCCUGAGAGGGUGACCGGCCACAUUGGGACUGAGAUACGGCCCAGACUCCUACGGGAGGCAGCAGUGGGGAAUAUUGCACAAUGGGCGGAAGCCUGAUGCAGCAACGCCGCGUGCGGGAUGACGGCCUUCGGGUUGUAAACCGCUUUCGCCUGUGACGAAGCGUGAGUGACGGUAAUGGGUAAAGAAGCACCGGCUAACUACGUGC